rnacentral:rRNA from 1 species
UUCGAUGAUACGCGAGGUAACCUUACCUGGGAUUGACAUGUACGUGGUACGGAUCUAGAAAGGUGAAGGACUUACUCUUCGGAGUGAGAGCGUACACAGGUGCUGCAUGGCUGUCGUCAGCUCGUGUCGUGAGAUGUUAGGUUAAGUCCCGCAACGAGCGCAACCCCUGCAUUCAGUUGCCAUCGGGUGAAGCCGGGCACUCUGGAAGGACUGCCAUCGACAAGAUGGAGGAAGGUGGGGACGACGUCAAGUCAUCAUGGCCCUUAUGUCCAGGGCGACACACGUGCUACAAUGGCCGGCACAACGGGAAGCGAGUUCGCGAGGACGAGCGGAUCCCUUAAAGCCGGUCGCAGUUCGGAUUGAAGUCUGCAACUCGACUUCAUGAAGCUGGAAUCGCUAGUAAUCGCAGAUCAGCCAAGCUGCGGUGAAUACGUUCCCGGGCCUU